rnacentral:rRNA from 1 species
UACGGAGGGGGCAAGCGUUGUUCGGAAUUACUGGGCGUAAAGGGCGCGCAGGCGGCUGCUCAAGUCAGGCGUGAAAGGCCUGGGCUCAACCCGGGAAUUGCGCUUGAGACUGGGCUGGCUUGAGUGCGGGAGAGGAUGGUGGAAUUCCCAGUGUAGAGGUGAAAUGCGUAGAUAUCUGAAGGAACAUCAGUGGCGAAAGCGACUUCCUGGACCAAUACUGACGCUCAUGUGCGAAAGCGUGGGGAGCAAACAGG